UACGAAGGGGGCAAGCGUUGUUCGGAAUUACUGGGCGUAAAGGGCGCGUAGGUGGCCUGUUAAGUCGAACGUGAAAUCCCCGGGCUCAACCCGGGAACUGCGUCCGAGACUGGCAGGCUCGAAUCCGGGAGAGGGAUGUGGAAUUCCAGGUGUAGCGGUGAAAUGCGUAGAUAUCUGGAGGAACACCGGUGGCGAAGGCGGCAUCCUGGACCGGUAUUGACGCUGAGGCGCGAAAAGCCAGGGGGAGCAAACGGG
rnacentral:rRNA from 1 species